UACGUAGGAUCCGAGCGUUGUCCGGAUUUACUGGGUGUAAAGGGUGCGCAGGCGGACUGGUAGGUCAGUGGUGAAAUCUCGUCGCUUAACGACGAAACUGCCUUUGAUACUAUCAGUCUUGAAUCCGGUAGAGAUCUGUGGAAUUCCGAGUGUAGCAGUGAAAUGUGUAGAUAUUCGGAAGAACACCAGUGGCGAAGGCAGCAGAUUGGGCCGGUAUUGACGCUCAGGCACGAAAGCAUGGGGAUCAAACAGG
rnacentral:rRNA from 1 species